AUGUAUGUAUAUUUGUGAAUUUCAAAUUAUUGAUCGAUACAUAUGAGCUAAAACAUUAAUAGUUCUUGACAUGUCCUCGAUCUCGAUGUCCUCGGGAUAUCGAGAUGGUCACGUGCUGGCUGACAUCCGAAGGGUGAUGAAAGUCAUUUAAUUAAUGCAAAUGCUAUGAACAUGUGAAACAUGCAUAUAAAUUGGGUUUAUUCAUGCAAUAGGAACGUAUAACACAAAACUUAAGUUCAACUAUCAACAAUGAAAUAUUAAGAUAAUGCAUGACAUGUUCAGAGCAUACGUCUAAUAUAGAGUACACAUGAAAAUUUAAGAUAGAAAAGUGCUAUUACAAUAGAUGUCGAAGUAGAGAGUAAAUAGCACGAUAUCACUGGUAGGGGAAUGCCUCGAAGCUCAUAUUGUAUUCCUCAUUCCUAGGUCUUAAAUGGGGCACAAAACAAACAUGAGUGGACCAAAUUGAUAUAUAUAUAUAUAUAUAAUAAAACAAUUAUCAACAUACUAACCCCCAUAUUUUAAGUGGCUUAUUCAAUACAAAAUCAGUUCAUAUUUUUGCAAAUUUCAGAGAUGCUCACGGAAGAACAGGGCUUCACUGGGCGUCCUAUUUUGGAGGAGAGGAAACUGUCAUUACAUUACUUCGAUUGGGCGCCGCUGCAUCUUUCCCAGAUCAAUUUCACGUGGCUAGUUCAAACUUCACUUGGAUACUCCAGAGUUCAGUUUGAGGGGGGAGUAAUAACUGAUAUAACAAAAAGGGGUAUUAUUGUAAUUAGGUUAUAUGGCUAUAUAAGGGAUUGUUUAGCUAUCAUUUCUUUAAGUUCUUUUGUAUACAUUUUCUCCAUUUUAAUCAAUACAAUCUUUCUGGUUUUUCUCUCUAUCAUCUUCAUCUUUAUUUGUACCAAUUCUUCAUCUUUUACAAUGUAGUUAAUAAUUAGUAAGCCUCACAAAAAUUUCGCUUAAAUUCAGAAGGGAUGAUGACGAAUGCUUUAUCUUGCUGAUCAUGGAUAUGGUUUCCUCUUCUCUCACCGAGCGAAAAGACCGAACUCUUUUGUUGCUCAAAAGAUUUAAGACGCAUAUACUUUUUACCUGCCUCCAGUACUCACCAUAAGGAGCAGAUGCAACGUCGUUGUAGUUGUAUAGAAGCUUCUAAACGAUGGUGGACUUGGGACGGUUAGAAAAUGUGAGGUUAUGGGUUUUCAUGAUCUCACGGGCAGCCUCAGCUGAAGACACAACUAGGACUGGAACACUUCCAAAGUGGAGAAGCAUGAGAGGGCCAUGGCGUUGAGACAAGGCUUGAAACGAGCGAUGAGGGUGCAACCCUACUUGGUGCAAGUUCCCAAUGAUUGGGAGCUUCGGUGGAGAAGGUGGUGAAGGGGUUUUGUUGGUGGUUGUAGCGGAGGAGUACCAUCGGUAUAGGAGGAUGAGGAAAAUGGCCAGCAGAGUGAAGGCCAAAGGUUGCAAAAAAGAGGAGGUUUCACUCACCAUCAUCAUAGUUCUUCCAUCUACCCUAUCUUGGAAAAGAAAAUGUGUUGUGUUGUGUGGUCUUCGUUUCUGUGUUUAUAUAAGUCAAGGUUAUCCCAGUAUACAAUGUAAAGAGUGAGCAUGUGUGGCUUUUUACCUUCACAUCCUCUCAUUCUCUCGAAUGUGUGACGAAUUUUCAAGUCAAACACGUACUAACACGAAUUAAGUGACGUGUAGCAUGUAUAACUGUUAGGCUUUAGAUAUAGGAUAAUCUACUCUGAUACCAUGAAAAAAUAAAAUAUGUGUGUUGCAAUUACACACAAAGUACUCUUUAUAUAAAGUCAUAUCCGUGACAAAAUAAAAUGUGAUACGAUCGCUUCUUGUGAAGAACUUCACGUAAUAACAAACUAUUACUGUAACCUUUUUGAAAACUUAAGAUAAUAACAAAUAUAUUACCGUAACCUUUUUGAAAACUUAAAAUAUGUGUUUGGAAGUUUUCAAACGAUAUCUGUAAGCAUUUUCUUGUUCAUACAAAUUGCAUGAGAUGGAGUAAUUUCUUAUGGAUUUAUGGGUCUCUCACAUUUGACUAUUCUGUGUGACUUUUGGGUUUUUUGGAUUACUUUAUUUGUUUAUGCAUCUGGUUUUGCAACUUUUUUUCUGUUGUUUUCAAGAUUUUAGUUCAGAUCUUUCUCCCCCCCUCUCUCUCUCUCUAUCUCUGUCUUUCUCUUUCUUCUCUCUUUUUCUCUCUAGACAAAGUGCUUUGCUUUUCCCCCUUUCCCUUUCCAAGUAAUUUCAUUUUGUUUUUCAAUUGUUUUUGUGUUCAUCAGGACUAUUACCAACUGUGUUUGAUAACUUCUGUGCAAAUGUGGUGGUUGAAGGCACUACUGUGAAUUUAGGCUUACGGGACACUGCUGGUAACUCUCCCAACCCAAAUUCUAAUUUCAUCUUAUAUAAAUGCGUUCUCCGCCCAUUGUUGAGCGAUUUCGGAAUUAGGGUUGGGUUGGCGUCUGUUUGGUUGCCUGGAAAAUGUGGAAAGGAAAAUGGGGUCAUGGGGUUUCUUGAUUUGUUGUUAGAUUUGUGGGAACUGCAAUUUCUGGUGAAAUUUUUGUGUGAAUGUUCUUAGGGGAAAAAAGUUACUUACUUUUUUUGGUUUUCUUAGCCACCAAAUGGGAAUAAUUUCAUUUUCUUUUAUUUGUAUUUGUAGUGAUGUGAUUCAGGUUCUAUUUAUUAUGAUUUUAAAUCAAAUGCCUUACUUCGUUUAGAUUUACUACAAGAUCUAAUCUGUAUCUUGCGGAAAUGGUAAAUAGGUCAUUUUCGGAAUGACAUGAAAUUAAUUAGAUAUGGCAUAAAAAGAGGGGAUACUUAGUCUCAUAAAUCUAUUGCAGUUGAAAAAUGUAUUUUGGCAAGGGUUCUUUGAGCUGAUUAGGUGAAGAACCAAAUUGUCUUGCAUGCUUCUCAUUUAUUUUAAAAAAUGGAUUGGAUUCCUAUAAAUAUCUUAGUGAAGAACCAAUUUCACGACCUUGCAGAGCUUUUUGAAUUGAAGCCUUUUCUUGCUUGCAAUUUUGAAUUAUUUCAAAUUAUCAAUGACUAUUUUUUUUCUUUCUUUUUUUACAACAUUGUUGAGAAUGGUUUUGCUUAAGCUUUGGAGUUCUUAACUCAGAUACUCUCUUGGGUACGUUCCAUAUGAGUUUCAACUGCAUAUAUGUAUGUGGCUUUAGACUUGUUGGUUCAAUAAAUUGCAAGCCUUCAUUUUAAAAUCACUUUAGUCUAAAAUGAGUGAGAAAUGAAGUUGGUCGUAUAGUAUGUGUCGUAGUGUCAUAAAAAUCUGCCGCAAUAGUGAUACUGAGUAAAUAUUGGGAUUUGUUGGAUUUCCUUUCUUUUAUUCACCUCUCCCAGACCCUGCGUAAAGUGGGAGCCUUGUGCACUGGGUACGACCUUUUUGUUUAGUGUGGAUUCUCUUAGUCUUUUCUUUUGUAAUUUUGGGUGCUUUCACAUACCAUAUGUGAACUGCAUGCCGCUUAUGUGUUUUAUGCAAACAGACUAGUUUUUUGAGAUUACAACUUUUGUGAAUAAAAGCUUAUAAGUUCAUCCUUUUGAUUGUAAAGCGGCUCUUGAUGUCAGCUGAAUUGAAUAUAAGUUAAAAUCAAACUGCUUUGAUUUGUUCACCCAUCUCUUGGUUAUUUAAAUUCUUUAGAGAUGCCAAUAUUGAUUUGUGAUUUUAUUGGAUUCACUUUGAUGAAAUGUGUGUUAUCUGCAUUGUUGCAUUUUAGGGGUGACACCGUUCGUACCGCCUUUGUAGUGCAUCUUUUUAUGCAAAUUAUUUACCAUUCUGCCACUGGCUCUUUCUGCCCCUGCUGCUGUUGGUGGAUUUCACGUUACUAACAAAAUUACCACUGCCUCUUCAUUCUUCGUUCGGUGAGGGUUUUGGGGAUGGGAGGCCAUGCCGCCUCUAAGAUAGAGAUAGAGAGGGAGAGGGAGGAGGCCAUGCCGAUAGACAUAGACAUAGAGAUAAAGAGAGAGGGAGACAGAAACAGAGCGACUGAGGGAGAUGGAGGAGUGGGGAUCUUAGUGCCAUUGCUACAUAUCCUCGAUUUCAUGAGUGGGAGAGGGGGGGACAGUCAGAGAAAACCAUGGGGGCCGUCGGGAUUUGAGGGAGAGGGGUAGGGAUCGUGGCUGGGGGUCUAGGUUGGUCCCCUUGGUCCGUUUUCUACAGCACCACUGUGCUCAAACACUCUAUCUCGCAGUGGAACUCUCUCCUCCCCUUACUCAAUCCUCUGCUUCUUCUCUGAUUCAUGGUUGGUUGAUUUCUAAAAAACCUUCGAGGAUAAAUUUGGGGUGGGAUCUGGGUUUUCUGUGCAUUACUUAAAUUUUGCAUUUUUUUCUUCUGGAUUUUCAAUUAAGAAAUGAAUAAAUUUGGGGGUUUCUGGUUUUGUAUUUUGCUGUUUAUAUGCUGCAAUUACAGGAAAAGGAGGACAAGGAGUUGGACCCUGGAUGUGCUCUCCUUCGUCCAUCCUGCGUCUGCAUGUCCUCAUUCACAAGAUAAGUACCAUUUUUAUAGUUGAUUUUCUACUAUUUGGUUUGGUUUUAAUUCUCUCUGCCAUUCUCACUCCACACUCUCUGUCUCUCACUCAGUUCAAAGCUCUUCAACUUUUUCGCACAAAUUGCUCAAACAUUCCAGCUCUCAAACAUCUUAGAUCCCUCACUCAGUUUAAAAGUAUGUUUUUUUUGUUGUUUCUUGGUGAAAGAUUGAUCAGUGAUGAUUGCUAUUGUUCAUUCAUGGUUGAUUGAGCAUUUUUGUUAUAUGAAACCAUAGAGAAUAGUUGCCUUUAUGCUGAGUAUUUUUAUUUCUUGAUGCAUUUGUGUUGAUCAGGCACGAAGGGACCAGUCGAUACGAAGCGCAUCUUUAGGAUAUACAGGUAUAAGCAGCGUGGCAAAGAAGCUAUAAUGGCAAAUAAUUUUUUCUUUUACAUUACCUAUGAAGGGAGAGGUCGCACUUGGUGCGAUGACAAGUGUCUUCGCCCAUGAACGGUAGGUCUCGGGUUCGAGACUUGGGAGCAGCCUCUCCAUAAAUGGGGGUAAGGCUAGCCGACAUUCACCUCUCCCAGACCCUGCGUAAAGCGGGAGCCUUGUGCACUGGGUACGACCUUUUAUUACCUAUGAAGGGACAGUCGAUAUUGAUAAGAUCUCAGACCCAGUAAGUAUAGUUUCUGUUGACAUUUGUAUGAUUUUUUCCAUUAUUGUUUGAUAAUUUUUUUCAGUACAUUCUUUUUUCCUCUGUGCCAAAAUCAGGUACAACAGCGUGCAACACAGGACCAAAUUGCAUACUUUGGGCAAACGCCAUCCCAACUACUUACCUUCCCUCACUUGAAGAGGUUGCCAUUAGCAGAUGUUCUUCAUUUACAGGUAACUUUCUUUGGAGAAACAAGAAACUUAGCUGAACCUUUCGGAAUGUUUAUUUUAUUUCUGGAAAUUAUCCAAUCUAAACAUAUUACAUUGGGAAUAACUGAUGAGGAUUCGAUUUCUUAUGAAAAUAUUAUGCAUGUUUUCUGUUAAAGAAAGAUCAUCUUGAUAUUUUGGAAUGUCAGACCAUCUUCCAGAACCCAAAAGAAGUCAAACCAUAUGCUGAUUCUGCUCCUGAGCACUGCAAUCUUCCUGCAGCUGCCAUUCAUGCUUCUUCAGAUGCUGUAACACAAAACCCAGCUUUCGGCUAUCCGCUGGCAUCUCUCUGAAGGUUUGUGUACUAUCUUAUGUGGAAUUGGGAUGGGAUGACUUUGAAUACUUACCGUAUAUGAGGAAACGAAAUUUGAAAUGUUGCAUUGAUUAAUUAGUAGAGAACGAAAGCAUUGAUACUAUAUGAUUGUGUAGAUUCAGUUAUGUUGAUUGAGUAUUUGUUGGUGCAUUGCUAAUCAAAACUUUUUGUGGAUUCAGUUAGAUGUGUGAACUACAUGUUUGUUCUGUUUCUUAAGGAAACAGAACUUUUUGGGUAACCAUCUCUUCCUAAUCAAACCGUACAAUUUCUUCCUACUCAUUGUACAAUGUGUUUAUAUGCCAGCUCACUUGAAUGUAUAAAAACAAAACUGCUUAUCUUAUUGAUCUUAUUCACUCAUUUAUUCCUUUGUUUGUUCAUAAUUGUGUUGAAUUUAUUCAACUUAAAAGUGUUUUAUUCAUCCGAUUACGCUUUAAACAGCUGGUUCCUGCGGCAACGUGCAUGCCUAAUUUCUAGUACAAUCUAAAUUUGAGAUUUAUAUAUUAGUGAUUAGCCAACUCAAUUCCUCAUCAGAAAAACAGUUCCGACACUGCACACAAAUGCUUCGAUUAGGAAAAUUGCCCGCAAUAUAUAUGAAGGCCAAAGGUUGCAAAAACGAUGUUUUGUUCGUCGGCUUCAUAGUCCUAUGUAGGAAACGGAAUUGUGUGUAUGGGUGUGUCUGCUGCACUUGUUUGUUUAUAUAAAGGUAAAGAUCAUCCUGAUACAAAGUAGUAGAAUAGGCCAAAGGUUGCAGAACAGAGAAGGUUUCAUUCACCAGGUCAUAGUCAAAUCGAAUCUAGGAAAAGAAAAUUGUGCAUUUGCGUGUGCUUUGUUUGUGUGUUUAUAUAAAGGUCAUCCCAGUAUAUUAUUUUAAGAUCAUCCAUGAUUUCAUAUGAAAACAAAAAUAAAGUGCUAAUUGCUAUAAAAAACUUACAUAUAUAUAUAUAUAUAUAUAUGUGUGUGUGAGUUUUCAAAUUAUUGAUUGAUACAUAUGAGCUAAAACAUUAAUAGUUCUUGGUCUAAAUGAAUAUGGAAUAGCAAUAGCUUUGGAUUUUUCUUUUCAUUUAUCCAAUAGAUUUUUACUGGCAUGGGAAAUUUGGAGGGAUGGAAAGUAGGUAAGUAGGAAAGUCGGAGGGUGUAGUUGUCCAAUUACCAAACUAUGCGUAUAGAUGACAUUGGAAAAGUAACCGAUGGAGUCCACAACUAUAAACUCAAUCAAUGUAUCUAGUAGUUAAACUUAAGGAUCGCUAAUUUUAUUUUGAUAAAUAAACAUACAAGGACUAUGGAUUCAUAUUCUUAUAUCCAUCAUUCAAAGUGAAUAUGGAAUAGCAACAGCUUUGAGAGGAUUUUUUCUACGUACGGUUAAACCAGUAGAUUCGGUCAUGUCUAAAUCCUCCGCACUUGCUCCGCUAGGCAAUUCCCAAUCGUACUUGUGCACAGUACUUGCUAAGGCGAUCUCAAUAAUAGCAAUCGCAAAAUGAAUUCCCGGGCAGAUCCUCCUACCAGCUCCGAACGGAAUCAACUGAAAGUCAGUCCCUUUAUAAUCUAUCUCACUAUUCAAGAACCUUUCUGGCUCGAAAUCUUCUGGUUUUUCAUAGACCUUGGGAUCCCUUCCAAUGUGCCAUGCAUUGAUCAUAACUUGUGUCUUGGCUUUGAUGUUGUAACCAUUUAUUUCCACGUCUUGGGUCGACAACCUGGGCACUAGUAAUGGAAGUGGUGGAUGUAAUCGAAGAGUUUCCUUUAUCACCGCCUUCAAGUAGUGCAUUUCGACCAAAUCAUCCUCCGUGAGUACGUCUGUUUUGCUUACGGCUAUUCCCCUUACUUCUUUCUGCAAUUUGUUCAUGACCCUUGGAUUCCUUAAAAGCUCAGUCAUUGCCCACUCUAGUAAUGUAGAUGAUGUAUCCGUACCAGCAGCAAACAUAUCCUACAAGAAUGAAAUGUUGAUUAAGACAUUAGCCUCUAACUUCUAAAGUAGAGAGAGAGAGAGAGAGAGAGAGAGAGAGAGAGAGGGUUACCAAGAUGAGAGCUUUUAUAGUAACUGUAUCAAUAGGAAAACCUGCCAAGUUUUCUUUCUGAACUGCAAGCAAAACGUUGACAAAAUCGUUCCUGUCAUCAUCUUCACUCUUUGAACUACACUUCAUAUGCUCUUGAAUAACUCCACAUAUAAAGUCAUCAAACUGCUUAGCCACCUUGUCUACCUUGGCCACCAAACCAUUGACAUGGCGCAACCAAGAAAGCCACGGUAUAUAGUCCCCGAUGUCGAUAAUUCCCAAUAAUUCUGCGAACUCCCUCAAAAGCUCCGAAAACAUCCUCCCAUCUUCUCCACCAUUGUACGUCCUCCCCAGAGCCACUCUACAUACCACAUCAUUAGUAAGCCUCACAAACAUUUCGCUUAAAUUCAGAAGGGAUGAUGACGAAUGCUUUAUCUUGCUGAUCAUGGAUAUGGUUUCCUCUUCUCUCACCGAGCGAAAAGACCGAACUCUUUUGUUGCUCAAAAGAUUUAAGACGCAUAUACUUUUUACCUGCCUCCAGUACUCACCAUAAGGAGCAGAUGCAACGUCGUUGUAGUUGUAUAGAAGCUUCUCAAAGAUGGUGGACUUGGGACGAUUAGAAAAUGUAAGGUCAUGGGUUUUCAUGAUCUCACGGGCAGCCUCAGCUGAAGAUACAACUAGGACUGGGACACUUCCAAAGUGGAGAAGCAUGAGAGGGCCAUGGCGUUGAGAUAAGGCUUGAAACGAGCGAUGAGGGUGCAACCCUACUUGGUGCAAGUUCCCAAUGAUUGGGAGCUUCGGUGGAGAAGGUGGUGAAGGGGUUUUGUUGGUGGUUGUAGCGGAGGAGUACCAUCUGUAUAGGAGGAUGAGGAAAAUGGCCAGCAGAGUGAAGGCCAAAGGUUGCAAAAAAGAAGAGGUUUCACUCACCAUCAUCAUAGUUCUUCCUUCUACCCUAUCUUGGAAAAGAAAAUGUGUGUUGUGUGGUCUUCGUUUCUGUGUUUAUAUAAGUCAAGGUUAUCCCAGUAUACAAUGUAAAGAGUGAGCAUGUGUGACUUUUUACCUUCGCAUCCUCUUAUUCUUUCUUAUCUCUUAUGUGACCAAUUUUCAAGUCAAAUGCGUGCUAACACGAAUUAAGUGACGUGAAGCAUUUUUUAGCUGUUAGGCUUUACACAUAGAGCAAUCUACUCUAAUACCAGGAAAAAAUAAAAUGUGUGUGUUGCAAAUAUAUUACCAUUCUAAAGUCUUCUCAGCGUGUGGGCAUUCACCCCACUACUUUUACAACAUUACAUACGUAUUUGGAAGUUUUCAAACGAUAUCUGUAAGCAUUUUCUUGUUCAUACAAAUUGCUUGAGCUAAAACAUAAAAGUUCUUGGUCUCAAAUAGGCCACGUGUAAGAGGAGAUGGUCCACAUAAUCUGCAGUUUUGACUGAAAAGACAGCCAAUUUGGGGAGCCACAUAAAAUUUACGGACUCAAUUUUUUCUACAUACUAAUAUUUCUGAGCUUUUUGGGUGGUUCUAGGCACUGAUAGAUUUAUUAGGAUGCAUUUGUUACAUUGAAUUAUCUUGGAUUAAACUAUCUUUAGAAACUAAGCUGAACUAGGGAUGACCAAAAUACUCAUGGGUUUGGGUAAUUACGGUUACCCGCUCAUUUAAAGUUCACGGUUACGGUUAUGGGUAACCGUUUAGACAAACAAACGGUUAUGAGUAUAACCGUUUAUCUAUGAAAUUUAAAUGAACGGUUAUGGAUAUUACCCGCGGCUAUAACGAAUAUCUAUCGGUUAUGAGUAUUACCCGCUGUUAUAAUGGGUAUCUAUUUACCUAUUUAAUUUAAUAUAUGUAAAAUUUUAAAAACUAAUCUUUAUUUUUAUUUUUUACUUUUGUAACGAAAAUCACCUUUGUUUAUAUAUUGUAAUAUUCAAUAUAUAAUGGUUAUAACCGGUUAUAACGGAUACUAUAUCUACCACAGGCUGUAUUCCAUUGCCGCGGUAUGUGCUUACCAGUGACUUCAAUUCAUCUUUGUUUAUAUAUUUUGUAUUGAGAUCAUAGAGCCUUCCCGGCAUGUAUCCGUAGCAAGGAAAGCUAUAAGGUGAAGCCUCAGUACAAGAAUUGUCAUAUAACACAAAAAACUUAAAACAAAAUCUGGUCUGGACUAGUGACAAGGUUCGAAAGAGAGUUUAGGACAGAUAAAUACCAUCAUCUGAAAUAGCAUGAGAGGGUGGAAAAAGCCGAGCAUUUGUGAUUCCAGAACUAGCUAGGUUUUGUACAGACUGCUUUAAAUUGAUACCCGUUAUAACGAUAUACUGGUAAGCACAUACCGCGGUUAUAAUGAAAAUUAUGAUAAUUUUUUUUUUUGUAAUUUUCAAGUUGUUAAAAAGAACAUGUAGACAGGUGAAAAAAUGGGUAAUUGGAUAAAAAAAUGAUAAACGGGUUCAAAAACGGGUAAACGGUUAUGGUUAAAUGAGUACACGGUUAUGGGUAUGGUUAACCAUUUAUAAACGGUUAUGGGUAUGGGUAUAACUGUUUAUGCAAUUACCCAACAGGUAAACAGUUAUACGGGAAUGAACAUAAACGGUUAUGGGUAAAUAACCGCGGUUACCCGUCUGCCAUAACCGUUGCCCAUCCCUAAGCUGAACUGAAUUAAGCUAGAUUAAACUAGACUAAUUUAAUAAAAGUUUUGGUGCAUUGUCGAACUAAAAAGUAAGAGAAUAAAAAUUAGUAAAAAGUGAACCUGAACAAUCACAACAGAGGAAUUUCAGUCAACAACAUGGUAUAUUAAUCAACCCACAAUCAAAUCCUAAUUUGCAAAAUCAAUGAAUUCACACAAACUUUUAUGCUUCAAAGAUUCAUGUUAUCAGAAAAAAUCCUUCAAAGAUUUAUUUCAACAUCAAAAUCAAUGAAUUCACACAAACUUUUAUGCUUCAAAAAAUCAUAUCAGGUAAAAAAAAAAAAACCUUCAAAGAUCAAAGAAAGAAUGACAUGAUGAAAAUUUCCCAAAUCUAAAGGAAAUUUCCCAAAAUAUGAAGGAAAAUUACUGAAAUUCAACAUGAAAAAACAGAAAUGGAAGAUAUUCUGAAAACCCAACCCCAAUUAGAGUUGUAAAUUUCAAAUAAAGCAAAAUCUAGGGUUUAAGAUGGCAAUCCAAUCCACUAACCCAUCAAAAGAAAAUUAACCCAACUACAAUUCAACAGAGAUCGACAUGAAAGACCAGAAAACCCAAAUGAAUUUAGAAAUCAGAAAGCUAGGGCACCCAAAUCCAAGGCAAACUUGUUCGUCUUCUUUUCCUUCAACUGCUAGGACUCCGAUUUCAUGACGCGACAGAAAGCACCAAACGAAGACCAUCGCCAGCAAUACAGGUCCGUUGUCGAUUGUUUAUAUGUUGGGCGACUACGAGGUGGUGCGACAAGGAAGGAGAAGGGAAGGGGCGAAGGUGCGAAGGCACGAGGGAGCAAGCUACUGCUACGGUUGAUGUGCGAAUGUACGACGGAGAAGGGAGAUCACGGGAUUACAAGGUGGCUUAGCAGUUCUCUCCGAAUCGGGGGGGGGGGGGGUCUCGCUAAGACCUAUUAGCAAGGGAACUUAGUCCAGUGAAAGACAGUAAGUGCAAACAAACACACCUUUAAGGGACCAGAGUGAUCUUGGACCAUCCAAAAGCUUGAAUGAGUGGCCAUGUGAACCACCCAAGUCUGGGCUGUGGGGGAGGAGGAGCAGUCAUGGCUGCAAAUUAAGUUACAAGUUCUGCUGCAGCCAAAGGAAAGAGGGAGAAGAAACAAUUUUUUCUUAGAUCCUCCGGCGGAUCUGGAGACUGCUUCAUGUCCUCAUAAAUGUUCAUUGCAUCUGCAGGACAACCAGAGUUCAAAAAACCCCUGACAACUUCUGUAUAUGUUUGAGAAUCAGGAAACAGAUCCUCCUUUUUCAUGCUGUCGCACAGUAGCAUAACAUCCUCCAUUUUCUUAGAUCUUGCUAAUGCAAUAAUUAAGUCCUAAUACAGAUAGACAUCCGGUUUGUACCAGUCUUGCUUUCGAAUAACAUUAAAUACCCCAAAAUUCACCAAGUUGCUUGUAAUUCCAAUAAACAAAGACAUAUAUGUUCAUUGCAUAUGUAGUUAAACAGAAAUAAAGAUGUGCAGUCUAGAAGGAAUUCAUUCCAAAUAAUGGUCUAAAUGUACUCUGAUAAACAAGUCUGCAAAACCACAGCAUACCUGUAAUGUGGUUCGGCAUUUAACACAGGAAACAACGAAUAAGGAAAGCACCAUUGUGUAUUUGAAGAGUUGGGUUUCAACAUUUCACCAUUGUGCAAAACCACAGCAUACCUGUAAUGUGACUCUCAUGAAUGAGAUUUCAACAUUUCACCAUUACUAGCUAUUUCCAAAUCCAAAGAGCUGUCCUAGCACCUAUAACUACAAACAACAACAACAACAACAACAAAGCCUUUUCCCACUAAGUGGGGUCGGCUAUAUGAAUCCUAGAACGCCAUUGCGCUCGGUUUUGUGUCAUGUCCUCCGUUAGAUCCAAGUACUCUAAGCCUUUUCUUAGAGUCUCUUCCAAAGUUUUCCUAGGUCUUUCUCUACCCCUUCGGCCCUGAACCUCUGUCCCGUAGUCACAUCUUCGAACCGGAGCGUCAGUCGGCCUUCUUUGCACAUGUCCAAAUCACCGGCCCUGAACCUCUGUCCUAGCACCUAUAACUACAAGUGAAAAAAAUGCCCGUCUUGAGUCAAAAGAUGGAUUUGGCCACGAAAACCACGUCACUCCGAUCGCGCUUUACCAUACACCAUGAACCUGCACUACUAACGGGAAGACCCAGAAACACUUAUACUAAAGCUAAGCAUUGCUUCUAAUACUGUAUUGACAAAGCAUUACUGAAGGUGCCCAAGAUCACACAUUGAGUCAGGCAUUCAACCAAAUACAUAGCGUGCAACCCACGGAGCCCCAUUUCGCAACGACUGUAAACUAACAACACAUAAGUGGAUUCACACAGCACAACUUCAACACCCAAAGUACAAAAAUUUCAGAACAAACCAGAAGAUCAAAUGCAAAACAUUCACAAAAUUUAAUCACAGAAAUUCAAUACCUUAAUUGCCAAAGCGACUUCUUCCUGGCGCUUGAGCUCAGUGAGAACAACAAUCAUAUCCAUCUUCAACAGUCUCAAAACGGGGGUAUUUACAAACUUCCCGAGCAUCUCUUCGUCGUCCUCGAACCGCUUCAAACCCGAGAUUACGAAAAGCGCUUCUUUGCCGAUCAGCUUUUUGACCCUCCAGAGCGGUCCUCUGGGCCUCCCGUCGUGAUACAGCCUCAGCCCACGAAUGGAUCUCCAGGACUCGAGUUCAAGUUCUGUGGAUUUUAGAAGCAUUGGGGUCGACUUGAUGGGCGUUGUUUUCAGGUUUUGAAGGAGUAUUGAAGAGAAAAAUGCGAACUUUGAUCGCGAAAAUGCACGAGUCGCCAUUGGAGGUUUGAUGAAGGGGACGAAUUGGUGAUCCGCAGUGAGGGUGAUGAAGGGAUCGAGUUGGUCAGUGAGACUGAUGCAGGUUUUGUUUGGGAAAUGAGAAGCUACUGCUGCUCCAAAUGAAAGAAGGAGAGUGGGGCGCUGGGGGUUUGGCAUAGGGCUUUACGGUCGUAGAUAGAAACCUUCUUAUGUUUUCAUGUUCCCGAAAAGAGAGAAAAAUUAAAAAAAUUUAAGUAUGUUAUUGCCAAUCCAACAUUCUCAAUUUCUUAUUAUACACUUGUUAUAAAUAUUUUUUUAUAAUUUAAAAAGUUUGAAGUGCACGAUAAAUUGUUUAUAAAUUGAAAUUGGCUUUAGUCCUUUGUUUUUACAAAAGUUGCAUUUUGCUCACAUUCCUAAUUUCAGAUAACCGUUAUAUUCUCUUUAAAAACUUGUAAUGAAUUUGUUUAAGUAACUAAGUUUACUUAUACAUUUAAUUAAAUCUUUAAAGAAAAGAAUAAUAGCCAAAUGAUUCAUAACAAAAUUACCGUUUAUUCCUUUAUCGAUAUCCUAUCAAUUAAACAAUUGUUGAAUUUCCUAUUUGUAUUCCCCAAUAUUUUAAUUAUUUUUCUUUUUCAUAAAGACUAAAUUAAAUUAUAGAUAAUCAUAGUUAGUAAAUAAACUCGUGACACGAUUUUAGAGGAAGAUAACAGUUAUCUUGCGUCAGGAGCGAGCAAAAAGACACUCCUCCUACAAACUCACCAACUAAAAAUGGUUUUACUUUAGAAAUACGGGAACUUUAACGAAAAGCUCCUGAUACUGUUCAUUUUAACGAAAAAUCACAUUUUUACACUAAAAUGUCAAUCCUGAUACUAUUCAUUUUACCCUUUAUUUUGCCUUAUUAUUAAAACUCAAAGUUUUCAAAUCAUUUUCAUUAAUUUUCCUUAGAAAUACACUCUCUUUAGUUAUUUUUAACCCAAAGCACCCUUAACUUACUAUUCAUAUUGUACUUCAUCGAAAAAAAUUAAAUUAGUGGUAUUUUGGGGAAAGAAGUAGAGAGGAUUCUCGCCGGAUCAUCGCGCGGAUUCUUUUUUGUGAGGAUUAUAAAAAAUUUCUAUUCAUAUUCACUCAUCGUAAAUUAUGUGGUUAGUUUUCGUUAAAUACGAUUUAUAUUUAAUUUUAAAUAAUAAUUUAUAAUAAUUUUUUACCGCACAAGUAUGUAAUUUUAGGAUCCGCAAGGAUUCUCGCCCGAAUGAGGAAGCUGUAUUUUAUUAGUCAUUGACCAACUCAGUUCCGCAAAAGAAACAGUUCCGACACACACAAAUGAUCUGAUUAGGAAAAUUGGCAACUAUAUACGCGAAGGCCAGGAUGUUUUGUUCAUCGGCAUCAUAGUCCUGUGAAAAAAGAAAGAAAAAGAAAUAGCAUGUCUGCUGCACUUGUGUGUUUAUUCACCAUCUUCUUCCUCUAUUACCUCUUCUGUUACCUGGCCAACCCUAUCCACCUCCAACUUCUGCCUCCGUCGAACCCACCUUCUCUCCUCCUCCAAUCUUUGCCUUCCUUGAACCCACCCACAACAUCUGCUUCCGUCGAACCCAUCCCCGUCUCCUCCUCCUAUAUCCUCCGUCGAGAAGGAAUGGAGUCAUUGCUCGACUUCAUGUUCAGUGGUGAAGGUUCAAGAAGGUAAAGUAUUGUGCUGUUUUCUUCACAAAAUCGGGGAGCAGAGAGUUAAGGGGCUGAUGAGCAGCGGUGGUGGAAGGUGCGGAGGAUGUGGGGGAAUUGGUGUUGGUUUAGGUACAAGUCCAUAGCCUUUUAGGGAAUUUUAAAGGAACAUUUUUUAGUACUGUUUAUUUUUAAUAAGAAAUCACAUUUUACAUUUUUUUAGUACUAUUUAUUACACUUUUAUUUAUUAUUUUUUAUUAAAAUUAAAUUUUUUUUAAAUUUUUCGUUAGUUUUUCUUAUAAGAGGUAUACGUUCAUAAAGUGACUGAUACAAUCCACAGCUAUAAACUAAAUCAAAUAUCUAGUAGGUAAACUUGAGGAUCGCUAAUUUUAUCUUGAUAAAUAAAACAUAUACGGAGGACUAUGAAUUUCAUUUUCUUAUAUCCAUCUUUCAACAUGAAUAUGGAAUAGCAACAGCUUUGAGAGGAUUUUUUCUAUGUAUGCUUAAACCAGUAGAUUCAGUCAUGUCUAAAUCCUGCCCACUUGCUCCGCUAGGCAAUUCCCAAUCGUAGUUGUGCACAACACUUGCUAAGGCAAUCUCAUUAAUUGCCAUGGCAAAAUGAAUUCCAGGGCACAUCCUCCUACCAGCUCCGAACGGAAUCAACUGAAAGUCAGUCCCUUUAUAAUCUAUCUCGCUAUUCAAGAACCUUUCUGGCUCGAAAUCUUCUGGUUUCUCGUAGACCUUGGGAUCCCUUCCAAUGUGCCAUGCGUUGAUCAUAACUUGUGUUUUGGCUUUAAUGUUGUAACCAUUUAUUUCCACGUCUUGGGUCGACAACCUGGGCACUAGUAAUGGAAGUGGUGGAUGUAAUCGAAGAGUUUCCUUUAUCACCGCCUUCAAGUAGUGCAUUUUAACCAAAUCAUCCUCCGUGGGUCCGUAUGUUUUGCUUCCGACUAUUCCCCUUACUUCUUUCUGUAAUUUUUUCAUGACCCUUGGAUGCCUUAAAAGCUCAGUCAUUGCCCACUCUAGGAAUGUAGAGGAUGUAUCCGUACCAGCAGCGAACAUAUCCUACAAGAAUGAAAUGUGUUGACUAAGACAUUAGCCUCUAACUUAUAAAGUAGAGAGAGAGAGAGAGAGAGAGAGAGAGAGAGAGAGAGAGAGAGAGAGAGUUACCAAGAUGAGAGCUUUUAUUGUAACUGUAUCAAUAGGAAUACCAGACAAGUUUUCUUUCUGAACUGCAAGCAAAACGUCGACAAAAUCGUUCUUGUCAUCAUCUUCACUCUUUGAACUACAUUUCAUAUGCUCUUGAAUAACACCAACUAUAAAGUCAUCAAACUGCUUAGCCACCUUGUCUACCUUGGCCACCAAACCAUUUACAUGGCGCACCCAAGAAAGCCACGGGAUAUAGUCCCCCAUGUCGAUAAUUCCCAAUAAUUCCAUAAACUCCUCCAAAAGCUCCGUAAACAUCCUCCCACCUUCUCCACCAUUGUGCGUCCUUCCCAGAGCCACUCUACAUACCACAUCAUUAGUAAGCCUGACAAAUAUUUCGCUUAAAUUCUGAAGUGAUGAUGACGAUUGCUUUAUGUUUCUGAUCAUGGAUAUGGUUUCCUCUUCUCUCACCGAGCGAAAAGACCGAACUCUUUUGUUGGUCAAAAGAUUUAAGACGCAUAUACUUUUUACCUGCCUCCAGUACUCACCAUAAGGAGCAAAUGUAACGUCGUUGUAGUUGUAUAGAAGCUUCUCAACGAUGGUGGACUUGGGACGGUUAGAAAAUGUGAGGUCGUGGGCUUUCAUGAUCUCACGGGCAGCCUCAGCUGAAGAUACAACUAGGACUGGGACACUUCCAAAGUGGAGAAGCAUGAGAGGGCCAUGGCGUUGUGAUAAGGCUUGAAACGAGCGAUGAGGGUGCAACCCUACUUGGUGCAAGUUCCCAAUGAAUGGGAGCUUCGGUGGAGAAGGUGGUGAAGGGGUUUUGUUGGUUGUUGUAGCGGAGGAGUACCAUCUGUAUAGGAGGAUGAGGAAAAUGGGCAGCAGAGUGAAGGCCAAAGGUUGCAAAAAAGAGGAGGUUUCACUCACCAUCAUCAUAGUUCUUCCUUCUAC
rnacentral:lncRNA from 1 species